AAACUCUGGUAUCUCCUCAUUUGCGGAUAAAUCUUUCACCUUUUUACUAAAGAUUUCCGUAGGGAGGCACAAUACAAUGAGUCUAAUCUCAUUUCUUCCAACUCCUUCUUCGCACGGAGU
rfam:Schistosoma haematobium scaffold502_18, whole genome shotgun sequence.